CCAGACUCCUACGGGAGGCAGCAGUGGGGAAUAUUGCACAAUGGGCGCAAGCCUGAUGCAGCGACGCCGCGUGCGGGAUGACGGCCUUCGGGUUGUAAACCGCUUUUGACUGGGAGCAAGCCCUUCGGGGUGAGUGUACCUUUCGAAUAAGCACCGGCUAACUACGUGCCAGCAGCCGCGGUAAUACGUAGGGUGCAAGCGUUAUCCGGAAUUAUUGGGCGUAAAGGGCUCGUAGGCGGUUCGUCGCGUCCGGUGUGAAAGUCCAUCGCUUAACGGUGGAUCCGCGCCGGGUACGGGCGGGCUUGAGUGCGGUAGGGGAGACUGGAAUUCCCGGUGUAACGGUGGAAUGUGUAGAUAUCGGGAAGAACACCAAUGGCGAAGGCAGGUCUCUGGGCCGUUACUGACGCUGAGGAGCGAAAGCGUGGGGAGCGAACAGGAUUAGAUACCCUGGUAGUCCACGCCGUAAACGGUGGAUGCUGGAUGUGGGGCCCGUUCCACGGGUUCCGUGUCGGAGCUAACGCGUUAAGCAUCCCGCCUGGGGAGUACGGCCGCAAGGCUAAAACUCAAAGAAAUUGACGGGGGCCCGCACAAGCGGCGGAGCAUGCGGAUUAAUUCGAUGCAACGCGAAGAACCUUACCUGGGCUUGACAUGUUCCCGACAGCCCCAGAGAUGGGGCCUCCCUUCGGGGCGGGUUCACAGGUGGUGCAUGGUCGUCGUCAGCUCGUGUCGUGAGAUGUUGGGUUAAGUCCCGCAACGAGCGCAACCCUCGCCCUGUGUUGCCAGCACGUCGUGGUGGGAACUCACGGGGGACCGCCGGGGUCAACUCGGAGGAAGGUGGGGAUGACGUCAGAUCAUCAUGCCCCUUACGUCCAGGGCUUCACGCAUGCUACAAUGGCCGGUACAACGGGAUGCGACCUCGUGAGGGGGAGCGGAUCCCUUAAAACCGGUCUCAGUUCGGAUUGGAGUCUGCAACCCGACUCCAUGAAGGCGGAGUCGCUAGUAAUCGCGGAUCAGCAACGCCGCGGUGAAUGCGUUCCCGGGCCUUGUACACACCGCCCGUCAAGUCAUGAAAGUGGGUAGCACCCGAAGCCGGUGGCCCAACCUUUUUGGGGGGAGCCGUCUAAGGUGAGACUCGUGAUUGGGACUAAGUCGUAACAAGGUAGCCGUACCGGAAGGUGCGGCUG
rnacentral:rRNA from 1 species